rnacentral:lncRNA from 1 species
ACCAGAUACAAUUCAAUCAGAAACUUAGGCAGAAAAGUACUUAAUUCUUUGAUCUCAUGUGGAAUUUAGCAGCAUAAGGUGGCAAGUUUCUGAACGUGACAUAGUACUGCAAACGCACUACAGCACAAUAUCUUUAAAAUGCAAAUUUGAACAGUGAAUUGUAUGCAGUCAAGAAGCAGCUGGAAUACACAAAGCUUUCUGAAAGGACCCUCUGGGUGGCAUUUCUCUAAUGAACAGUGAACUUGCUUUCCUAAGCUGUGUCAGAUUGUUACAAAGAAGACAAAGGAACUGUGCAUGCCUGGAUAUAAACUGACUCAGAUACUUCUCCAAAUAAUUAAGAGAGUUAACUAUUCACAGAUGGGCUCCUCCUUCUGUAACUUGACUCUGGAAUUCCUCCUGUAUGGCUGAAUACUCUGCUGAUAUUUUGUUUUCUUAAACUGAAGUUUCCAACCAGCUUUGUCUCUGCAAGAGGAGGGCUUUACG